rnacentral:lncRNA from 1 species
GAUGCCCACGUCCGAGAGAUGGCGGCAGCUGCGGGGAUUAAGGCUCUUGAGGCGCUGCAGCCCCCAGGCGAUGAGCAGAAGGCCGGUGUUGGUGAUGUUGCUGCAGCCCCCCAGCUCCAGCACCUCCAGGCCCUUGAGGUACUGGGCUAUGCGGUCCAGGCUGCUGUCUGUGAUCUGCUUGCAGGGGCUCAAGUUGAGAGCGCGCAGCGAGCCGAUCUCCUGCACGAACGCGUGGCCCAGGCCUUAUCGGUGAGGUUGUAGCAGCCGCUGAGGUUGAGGCUCUCGAUGUUCGCCAUGCCCUGGAUCACGUAGCUGAGGCUGCGGCGGAGGCUGAGGAUCUGCACGCGGCGGAUGCCUCCACGCCCCGCCACACUGACUUGUGGGAGGCGGCGUCCCGCCAGGCCCUGCACACCUGCACCGCGCGACCCUUGUCUCGGACGUCCAAGUAGCCGAAGAUCAUGGCCAGCAGCUCCGGGAACAGGCACGAGAUGUGGGUCUCCAUCUUCCUCCCGCCGCUACGCCGCGCCGGGUGCAGGAGGCGCGGGCGCAGCCGCCCCAGGAGGCGCCGAGAGCGGGUCGCCGCGGGCCAACGGCCGCCCCUCUUCCCUUAGAUUUUUAAGAGCAUAACUUUUUGGUUGCUUUGUGGCUUCUGAAAAAAAAUGCUCUUGCUUUUGGAGUCAUUAAAUAGAUUUUCUUUUUG